AUUAAACUUUAUAUGUGUCAACCAGAUUUGUCACAGAUUGGGGGUGAAAUGAGAGCAUAAACUUAUGCAAAAAUUAAAGCCACACGGUCACAUCAUCUUGUCAGAAAAGAAAAGCAACAGAAUACAAGAUGCCACUGCCAUUUACAUGAAGGAACUAAGGCCUGGACUGCCCUCCCAGCAAAAAUCUGCUCUAACAUAAGCCAAUAAGAUGACAAAUGGGAAUCUGAAAUGACUUUGAAAUAAAAUCCAAGAUGUAUCCGUGAAGGCGGGAGGCAAAGAUGUUCUGGAACUGCUGUCUCUCCCAAGGGCUCUGCAAAACCCCUGAGGCCUCAGCUUGUAAUUCUGCAAUAGGGUCUCACAUCUCCAAACCUUUCCUUACCGGCCCCUGAAUGCGAGCCAACUGCUUCAUUUGGUUCUCAGCUGAAGAAAUAGAUCUGUUCCUAUGCCGGAGAGAAAACCAGAUGUCCUGGAUUGAGAAAUGGUAUCUCUACAUGUACUUCAGAGGCGUUAUAAGGGAUCCUCAAGGGCAAACUUUCACUGGAUGCCUAGUGAAGGCCAAGUACUGGAAUUGAAGACAGAAACAGAGUUUCUGCCUUCAAGGAGCUCACAGACAAGCAAGAAACACUGACACGGGACAAUUGAAUGCAAAUAAGCUUCCUCACCGUGACUGUUUUUCUGUUGAACAGCGAUGAGUGGUGGUAGGCAUUUUCGAUAUCUGGCUAAAGAGAAGUUGAGUUGGGGAACAUGAAGUUUGGAUUGAGCGGCAUAUAUUUCUGCAGUUUGCAGAAUUUCCAUGUUUAGUUAGGUUAUUAUUAGGCCUCCUGGUGUAGGAACGGCUUCCAGGAAUGCUCCUUUCCCUACCAUGUCAAUUCAUCUGGUGCCAUCUCAUAAAAGUGCAGGGCCAAGGGCAAAGCUGUGAUAGGAC
rnacentral:lncRNA from 1 species